GUGAAAGAUGCUGUAUGCUGUAGGCACUGGAAAGUGUUAAACAGUUUAACAGCCUUCCUAACGAUUUUAAACAUUGUCAAAUGUUCCAGCUCACACAGUGCCAUCGUUUUAGUAGCCUGGAAAAUACUGCAAUUUGUUCAAACAUUAGCUGUUAUUUCUGGAUGCUAAUCAGUGCCAUUUACCUUGGAAGCCCGGAAAAUGUGUGGACUGUGCAAGUGCGCCAUCUGCUGGCCCUAGAGAUUCCAACUGGGCCAAUGGGCAAGGAUGCUUCUUGUUCUGUCCAAUGUCCCUGAUACAUGAGCCCAUUAGAGCAUCCACGAGGCCAAAGCUCUUUCCACCACCACAUAUCCUGGUGUUAAAUUAUCAUCAUGAACACAUUGGCUUUUCAAAAGAAAAUCAUUUAUGUAUGUGCGUGUAUGAUAUGAGAAUAGUUAAAUUAUUCUUUCUGCUUAUAUGAUCAUCUAAGGAGAAAAGAUCUCAGAAAUGAAAUGACCCUAAGAAAUCAGCUCUUACAAAUACCUCAUUUUACACAUGAGAAAAGUGAGGUCUCGGAAGCCACACAACUGGCCCAAGGUACUCAGCCAGUAGGGGUGGGACUUGACACCACCACCUCCCCCACACCCCGCCCAGCUCCAGCCUGGGCACUUAGUCCUGCUACCUUGGGGAAGAUGAAGGAGGGCAGAGAUAUGCACCAAAACAAAGCAAACUUCCCACCAGUUUUCUGGGACUCCCAUAUACAUCUUACUGAUAUUGGCACUUGAAGCAUCAUUUGCGAAGGACCAUCACUUCUCAUCUUACAUCCACUUAUCACUUUUUAUAAAAACUUCCACAUACAGUCAUAGCCAAGAGCAGAAGCCCUUUUAAUGGUUUUACUGCACUUAUCAAAAAAGGAAAAGAAUAACAGGUAGGGACACUUUCUCUUUUAAUUGUUUUCACUUCUUGAAAAGACAAGGAUUUAGCAAUUGUGACAGAUAAUCACAAUAUCUCUAUUUAAAAAAAAAAAAAAAAAAAAAAAAAAAAAAAGUCUUAGACCCAUACUACUUAAUUGCCUGGGUUACCUGCCACCGAGCCAGAGCACUCAUUCAAUUUGGGCACAACCUGAAACGCUAGCGCCAUCCGAUAGAGGGCAGUAGUGCACAGACACGCAUAACCACUCUGCUCUGCUCUCCCCUAUCAGGAAAAAAAGUGGCACGUGAAUAUAUUCUUGUAGCUCUGAAACUGUUCUUCUGGAACCAGUCAUUUUCCAGAUGCCGAAAUUCAUCUUAAAAGCCAAUGAUCUGACAAGGACAAAUAUUAUUCAUUAAUUCUUCUUAUGUCCUCUAACUCAUGACUCCAGCUCCAUUUUCUGCCCCCAAGCCUCCCAAAUCAAAGUUCUUUUACACCAGGACAGAGAUGCGCCUUGGAUCCGUCUGAAAACCAGGCUGACGAUUUUCUCGCCACCUAGCAACACACACACACACACACACACACACACACACACACACACAGCACAAUCCCAAAAGUCCCCAACGGGAAUAGCGUCAAGAAUCUUGAAAAUCAUACCUAUUUUUGUUUGCAACGUGUGAAAUUAUUACAAGUAUGUUCACCAAGAGGACUAUUGAUGGAUGACUCACAAUUUAGCUAAAUUCAAUGAACCACACACUGUGCCUAUCCCAGUAGGUGACUCAUGCAUUUUUUAUUUCAAGUAUCAAGUGUUUGCCAAAAACAGUAUUUAAAAAAAGUAAUGAAAAUUGUUCUGAAAGAGCUCAUGAAUAGGGUAGGACUACCCACCGGCAGCCUCAUUUGUGCUCUGACCACUUACAUGGGAUUUGGUGGGUCUGCUCUAGCCGUGCUCGACAGAGAGCAUGACCCACAGCAACGCUGGCAGGCAGAGAGCAGGGUUCUUACUCACAGAGAAUGGUUUUGUGCCUACUGCCCACGUCUCAGGAGAGACUUUGGAUAUUUGGGGGGGUGUCCCAAUAAGGUGUGUGUUAGGGGUCCACCUAUAUGUAUUUUCAAUCUAUUUUGCUAAAAAAUAUUCAAAAUACAUACAUUCAGUUCCUAUUUGUCUUCUAUUGAGCUUUCCUUUUUUUCUCCUACCUCUUUCAUUUAAAAAACUAAUUAUCAGGAAAAAAUGGAGGGAUGAAAGGUCACCCAGAGGAAAUAAUGAAAAUGACUGCUGGUAAAGAACAGUUAAGGGGCAGAGACUUCAUUCUAUGAAUGUUUUCCUGGCACCUGCUAGUAGGCUAUUCCCAAAGCCCUCAGUUAGACCCCCUUUCUCAGCCUGCCUCUCUGACUAGAGGAAAAGUUUGUAGCCCCCACUGACCUAUUGACUGUCUCUCCCCAAAAAUACACUGAAUCUGCUCAUCACCAAAUAAUAAUUCCUGUAAAUCUCAGAAAGGCAUUAUCGCAUAUUAAUCUCCGUGUUUUCACAGCUAUAUAAAGUUUUGAAGUAUUUCAAGGGAAAAGAUUUUAACCCUUACAAAGUUCCAAGUGUUGCCAGUAUUUAUUCUUAAAGAUUAUCAUAUUUUUAAAUUACGAACAAUGCCCAUUUUUCAGGUCAUGUAUUGGCCUUUUUUUCCCUGCUCAUUAUUUCAGGCAAAUAAUAAUGAGGUAUGCACUGUCCACUUUAAGUCCCUAUGUUCCCCCCUCCCCCAACACAUACACACA
rnacentral:lncRNA from 1 species